AACGAGCGCAACCCUUGCCUUUAGUUGUCCAGCAGUUCGGCUGGGCACUCUAAAGGGACUGCCGGUGUUAAACCGGAGGAAGGUGGGGAGUGACGUCAAGUCCUCAUGGCCUUUAUGACCAGGGCUACACACGUACUACAAUGGCCGAUACAAAGGGCAGCGACACUGCGAGGUGAAGCCAAUCCCGUAAAAUCGGUCUCAGUCCGGAUUGGAGUCUGCAACUCGACUCCAUGAAGUUGGAAUCGCUAGUAAUCGUGGAUCAGCAUGCCACGGUGAAUACGUUCCCGGGCCUU
rnacentral:rRNA from 1 species